AUUGACGCUGAGGGUAGAAUGACACAGGUUUAUGGUCCAGUCAUUUCUGAAGGUCGUUUGUUUCUCUGGGGUGUUCCCCUAAAACACGUCCGGUUUUCACACACCAGGGGAUUAAUUUAAAUCGAGCUGAAAGCCUUUGAUAUUCACAUAUUGUGAAUUUAUGGUUCAUUUGAACAGUACAGUUUGGUGAUUACUCCAUGUAGCUGGAAUCUGAGUACUUUGUAUCUGUCUGUCCAGUUACAUUUAUAGAUUGGCUAUUACCUAUUAUUGCUGCUGUGGUGAUUGAUCAGGAAAAUAAAAUUAUCAUGUAAACUCAAAUCAUUUUCCUUAACAGCGCUUUCCUUAUGAAUGUAGAUAUUGGUGAAUUUUCCAUUCCUAAAGCACGAAUAGUGAUUGUGUUGGGAGGUGAACAAGAUGCAUCGUGCUUCUAAUGAGUCUUUUAUUGA